rnacentral:lncRNA from 1 species
CUGGGGUGGAGCUAGGUCUUCUGAGGUGAAGCCAGAGCUCCUGCGGGUAGAGCCAGAGCUCCUGAGGGAAGCACCACACUUUCUAGAGGCAGUGCCCUGUACCCUAGGGCGGAGCCAGUGGAGGGGCGCCAGGCCUGGGGGCGGAGCCAGGUCAUGGCCUGGCUGGAGAAGGCAGACACAAAUGUGCCCGCCUUCAUAGCCCUUUCGCUGCUCAGGCCUGCUUUUCACGGGGCUGCCUCUGUGUCUCCAUCACAGUCUUAACCAUCUGGCCAGCCAGCACUUAAGAGAUCACGGCCCAAGCAAGUGCCUGGAGGGACUGGAGAAACAGCCUGGGCUCCAUCCCUGGGCGUCUGGUGACGUCACCCCAAGUCUCUGCACCCAGUGAAGGAUGCAGGCACGGCCCUGAGGGGCUGCGCCCCACCUGGGGGAGUCUGAGCUCCCGCACGGGGAGAAUGCACGGAACAGCGUGGUCCCCGCUGCCUCUGGGUGGAAUAGAACAACCUCUGAUCGGGGAGCGUGUCUGUGCCUCCGUGUCUCUGGGGAGACCUCGGGAGCCGGGGCAGCUGCUUGCCGCGGGGGGACCUGUCUGGAAGCCACAGAGCUCUCCCUCUCAUCUGGAGAAUGUGCACGGCCUCGGCUCCGCUCGGAUCCCCCAUGGAAGAAGGAAGCAGGCACGACAUGGAGGGAGGAGGCUCAAGGCAGCGUGGGCUCCUCUGUUCCUGCCAGCAGAGGUGGGGCCAUGCCAGGUGACAGGUGCUGAAUCACGGUGGGCGCUUGUGUUUCUCUGAUUUUAGAUGAACUGCAGCCCUUGGACCAAAACCCGGCCUCUGCUUGUUAUUGCAAAUAAAGUUUUAUUGGAACACA